UACGUAGGUGACAAGCGUUGUCCGGAUUUACUGGGCGUAAAGAGCGCGCAGGCGGUCGUUCAAGUCGAGUGUGAAAGCCCCCGGCUCAACUGGGGAGGGUCACUCGAUACUGAUCGACUCGAAGGCAGGAGAGGGAAGUGGAAUUCCCGGUGUAGUGGUGAAAUGCGUAGAUAUCUGGAGGAACACCGGUGGCGAAGGCGGCAUCCUGGACCGGUAUUGACGCUGAGGAGCGAAAGCCAGGGGAGCAAACGGG
rnacentral:rRNA from 1 species